CUAGGAUGGCAUCCCAAUGAUGGGAAACCGAUGGAACUAAGAAUGAACAUAGAUAGAAUAUAAGGUGGUGUCCUUAAGAUGAGAAACGAAUAAGCUUAGAUCGAACCUUGGAUGGCUUCGCAAUUAUGGGAAACAAAAGGAACUUAGGAUGAUUGAACCUAUGAUUACGUUUCAAUGUUAAGAAACUAAAAGAAUAAACAAAUAACCGU
rnacentral:lncRNA from 1 species